rnacentral:lncRNA from 1 species
UUUCACAUUGGUUACGAGGAAUUUGAACUGCCCGCUCACAAGAAACUCAAAGCUCUACAUGAGUCAAAUCGCGCAUCGCGCACUACAACGGUUUCAGCAAGCCUCUCAAUUGAGCAUAUACAUUUCCCACCAUGUGUUGUUCAAACUAUUUGCAAUUUGCUAUAGCUGAGCCAAAGCGUCAAGAUUGAAGUUGCCAGAUUUUAUAUCGCAGACACUGUCAUGAUGACGUUUAGCACUCGAUGUGAAUCACGUAGAGCAUUGAGUUUUCAUGAGUGGGUAGUUUGAAUUCACGCAUCAAGAAUCAUUAAAGAGCUUCGUAAGGAGUUGAUCUUUAUAAUUUUCGUUGUGCGCAUCGUGUUCUACGUAAAAUUUUGGUUGAGAAACAUGUAUCAGAAUGCUGAAAUUCGUACCGUGUCUAUUGGUCCAUUUUAAAAAAUCCAAGAAUAUUCACAAUCACACGGUCCCGGAAGCCGCCCCGGUGAAAUUUUCAAACGCGCGGUAGACAUAGCGUCAUGAUACCCACGCUAAAAAUAAAAGCCGGAGGUGACAGGAUGGAGGAAGGGGGGGAGGGGAAGCCAUUAAUGAAAGAGCUUUACAUAUGCAAACUAGGGGUGUACCUUAUUAAGAUUUAAAAAUAAAGAAGUACAUUAAAAAAACUAACCGAGGAACAGGUUCCCAGGCGAAAGACAAUACCGAGAGGACCCUUCACACGUAUGCAGAUGAGCUCGGCGAGCCGGGCCGGUGUUACUUAAACAAAUUUGAGCGGGCUGGAAGGGUUAGCGCGUCCCGCUCAGUCCCUUCAGUUCUCGGCAGCAGUGACCAUCGGGCUCAACGAAACCAGAGCCCGAGUGGCUUUCCAUGUUCUGUGCGUGGAAAUUUUGUUUAAAAGUUUAAAAGUAAAUUUAAAGUUCGCCUCACAAUUAGGGGGGCAACUCUGGAAGUUCAUUCAUUAAGUGCGAGUAAAUCAUCUGUCUAAUGUGUAUGUGGUGUUUUUGUGAAUUUUAUCCUUGCAGUGCCCCGAGCCGAUGCCUGAUGAACGGAGGGAUCCAAGAGGAGGGGACGAGGCCCCGAUCUAAUUUCCAAAUUGAUUAUCGCCAACUCAACGCUGUCGUUCCACGGAAAAACGCCGUAACAACAUUCGGAACUUGCCAAAUUUCCUCAAAUAAGACAUGUAUUUGCGCGGUACACUGAAAAAAAAGUAUGGGAAGAGUAACUUACCGGCCGAGUUAUGGAUCAUGGAGCCAUAAAAUAUAGUUCGUGGAGCCAUGCGUAUAGGUUCACGACCAAUAAAGUAUGGCUCAGAAAGCCAUACUGUAGACGGUAAGUCACUUUGGUUAGAAAUUACGGAUCUCCGAGCCAUUUUUUAUGGGUCUCAGAGUCAUACCUUUUUUUGAGUGUAAGUUACAUAGUUUUCCUUGAAAUUUUUGCGGACUGAAUUCACUAUAUUGC